rnacentral:rRNA from 1 species
UAUCAAUUUGAUGAUUCAUAAUAACUAAACGAAGCGCAGAGUCCUAGUGACGGCGCUGAUACAAACGAGUUUCUGCCCUAUCAACUUUCGAUGGUAGUAUAGGGGACUACCAUGGUGUUAACGGGUAACGGGGAAUUAGGGUUCUAUUCCGGAGAGGGGGCCUGAGAAAUGGCCACCACUUCCAAGGAAGGCAGCAGGCGCGCAAAUUACCCAAUCUCAAUUCGAGGAGGUAGUGACAAGAAAUACCGUUGAAGGACACUACGUGUACUUCAUUCGGAAUGAGAACAAUCUAAACACCUUAACGAGGAUCAAUUGGAGGGCAAGUCUGGUGCCAGCAGCCGCGGUAAUUCCAGCUCCAAUAGUGUAUAUUAUUGUUGCUGUAGUUAAAAAGCUCGUAGUUGGAUUUCGAAAUGCGACUGUCAAAGCCCGUCCAAGUGGCGUGGCUCGACUGGUUGCUUUCUGUCUUUGGGUAAUGGGCGUAGCUUCGGUUGCGUUUUCCGUUCCUAAUUGUUUACUUUGAAAAAAUUAGCGCGUUCAAAGCAGGUGUAACUUUGCCUUGAAUAGUUUAGCAUGGGAUAAUAGAAUAGGACCACCGGCCUUAUUUUAUUGGUUUCUAAAGCUGGGGUGAUGAUUAAUAGGGACAGUUGGGGUCGGUCGUAUUGAAUCGUCAGAGGUGAAAUUCUAUGAUUGAUUCAAGACGAACUGGUGCGAAAGCGUCCGACAAGGAUGUUUCCGUUAAUCAAGAACGAAAGUUGGGGGAUCGAAGAUGAUCAGAUACCGUCGUAGUCCUAACCAUAAACUAUGUGGACCAAGGAUCCGAGGAUGUUCCAUGAUGACUCUCCGGGCACUUUGUGAGAAAUCAGAGUAUUUGCAUUCCGGGGGGAGUAUGGCCGCAAGACUGAAACUUAAAGGAAUUGACGGAAGGGCACCACCAGGAGUGGAAUCUGCGGCUUAAUUUGACCCAACACGGGGAAACUCACCAGGUCCGGACACAGUAAGGAUUGACAGAUUGAGAGCUCUUUCUUGAUUCUGUGGGUGGUGGUGCAUGGCCGUUUUUAGUUGGUGGAUUGAUUUGUCUUGUUAAUUCAGAUAACGAGCGAGACCUCAUCCUGCUAAUUAGUGAUGUGAAUUUGGUUCCUCGCAAGGGGUUCCUAUCUGAUUCGUAGACUACUUCUUAGAGGGACUCUCGGCACUUUUAGCCGAUGGAAGUUUGAGGCAAAAACAGGUCUGUGAUGCCCUUAGAUGUCCUGGGCUGCACGCGCGUUACACUGGCUAUUGCAACGAGUGAUUUCCUGCCUCGAAGGGGGUGGGUAAACUUUUGAACGAUAGCCGUGAUUGGGAUUGAACCUUGCAAUUAUUGUUCAUGAACGAGGAAUUCCUAGUAAGCGCAGUUCAUCAAACUGCGCUGAUUACGUCCCUGCCCUUUGUACACACCGCCCGUCGCUUGUACCGAUUGAAUGAUCCGGUGAGGACCUGGGACUGUUAGUAUCUUAUCUUCUCGCAAGGGAAGGUCUGGCUGAUGGAAGCUAGUUCGAAUCAUACCAUUUAGAGGAACAAGAAGUCGUAACAAGGUU